GAUAGCAUGGUGUAGUGGUUUGAAUAUUAGACUUGGACUCUGGGAGACCAGAGUUCAAAUCCCUGCUCAGUCA